rnacentral:lncRNA from 1 species
UGAAAUGUACGAGACCUGAUGUUGAUCAGUUAUAUUCUGGAGAAGUUCACUAUGAGUCAGUGAAAAACAUCUUAAAGUACUUAACCGGCACUAAGGAUGUGAUCAGAUUUAUGGUGAGUCUGAAUUAAAACUAGAAGGCUUAACAGACUCAAGUUUUUCAGACAGACCAAGACGACAGAAAAUCCACUUUAAGGUAAAGCAUUACCUUGAACAGUGGUGCAAUGAAUUGGAAAGGUUCCAAAUAGCAA